CCUUUCUUUCUUUUGAAGUUUGGCUGUGCUGGAUUCCAUGCUGGUGUUGCGAAUCUCCUCUUCCCAGUGUAGAGUUUGUGGGGCAUGAUGUUGUAUGCACAGGCACUCCCGUACCACAUACACAUUUACAGUCUGGAUUUCUGCCAGCGUUGUAGUUCUCUGAGGAGAUUCUGCUAACAGUCAGGACAGUCUACUUGGUGGUUACUGAAGCAACAGUGAGUCACUGCUAAAGGGAGGAAUGGAUGCUUUUUCAUGUCUUCCUCACAAAUUCAGACUGAACUGUGAAAGCAGCAGGCUGAGAAUCUGAUCAGUGGACACUGUGCCUCUGAGUGUGGCUGCGGAUUUAGCCGGGAUCUUUCUGUGAGGGCCAGUUAGCUUUUCUCCGUCCCUGCCCAACCUGCAGAGGUUGUGUUAGUUUUGGUGGGAGGGUAGGGAAGGAGUGCAUCAGGCAAAUCUAUUAUAUUAAUUGGCGUUGCCAUUAAUAGAAUAAAAUGAGCCAUGAAAACAAGCCAUGUAUGCUAGUUAGUGCUUUGGACCGUAAGAAGCUUUUCAGAUGUAAAACAUGCAGCUCACCCUUGGCUAGGUUGUAGGCUCUUUAGUUCCUCCAAGCUGUAUUUCUCUGUAUGUCAAAACCAUUUGAUGAUCAUGAAUCCAUAAAUUGAAGAGUUAUGCUUCAGCUAACUAAAUGUUAGCCAUAGAAGUCUGAGCCAGGAACAUAUUUAAAAGUGAAAUAUGAAAAGUGAAGUGACUGAAAUUCUAAGAUAUUGACACAUUACUAAAAAUGUUACCUCUGUAUAUAAUAUUUGAGCUUUAAACUUUAUUAUGAAAAAUUUAAAUAAUUUCACAUCACUUCUUUUUUUUUUUUUUUUUUUUUUUUUGACAGGCAGAGUGGACAGUGAGAGAGAGAGACAGAGAGAGAAAGGUCUUCCUUUGCCGUUGGUUCACCCUCCAAUGGCCGCCGCUGCAGCCGGCGCACCGCGCUGAUCCUGGCAGGAGCCAGGAGCCAGGUGCUUUUCCUGGUCUCCCAUGGGGUGCAGGGCCCAAGCACCUGGGCCAUCCUCCACUGCACUCCCUGGCCAUGGCAGAGAGCUGGCCUGGAAGAGGGGCAACCGGGACAGAAUCCGGCGCCCCAACCGGGACUAGAACCCGGUGUGCCGGCGCCGCAAGGUGGAGGAUUAGCCUAUUGAGCCACGGCGCCGGCUCCACAUCACUUCUUAUACCUCCAGAUUAUAUAUGUACUAAGUUUAAAAAAAAAUACUGUUACUUUUUGAAUGCUUAGAGUAUGCUGGAUUUGGAAGAUACAUUAAAGCUAAUUCUACUUUUUUGUUUCCAGAAGGAAAAGCAAGUUUAGAAAAGUUAAGUGAUUUCCUUAAAACUUAUUAAGUGGUAGAGCAGUAAUUCUUCAUUAGCCUCACAUGACCUAGAAGUAAAAACUUCCACAGAAGGCAACUUAGGGAGGGCAGCAGUUACUUAUCAUGUGCAUUUAAGAGAGGGAGCUUCAUCUGCAAGGGGGGAGCUGUGCCACAGCUCAGGGUCCCCUUAUGAUCUGCUUCUCUCCCUGGAAUACAGGGCAGCACAUAAUAGACUUCUUACGUGUCGCUCCCUCCGCAGGCUCGCGGAGGAGUGGCAACGGAUUUGCUGUUGUUUCUUUCCUCGGUCCUCCCUGGAUUCGCUGCCCCGCCCCCGCCCCUCCGCGGAGGGGCGGCACACCGCUGGCCUGCUCUCUCAGGGGUUCCUCAGGUGUUCCUCCUGCAUGGUGUCUCUCUCCUCCUUCAUAGUCCUCUUCCACCAAUCCCAACUCUGCUGGCGUUCUCCCCCCCACGCGCUGAGCACGCUGCUCUCCUCCAAUCGGGGCAGGACCAGCUCCUGCAGCUUGUUAGUCGAAUUGAUGAGGCAGCUGUGUGGAAGUUAUUUAAUCCCUCUCAGUGCCAUAUGGUGGGAGAUCAGAUGCAUAGAGUUAGUCUUAGCAGUUCCAGUAGUUUAGUCUAGUCUCGGUAAUCUCAGUAUUUGUCCUCAGUAUUUAUUUGUCCACUGUCUUAGUACUUAUUUGUUUCCUGGGCGACGGGCCCUGCCAUGUUACGGGAGACGGGCCCUGCUCCCCACACUUACGGGUCAUGACAAAUGCCUGUGUGUUGAGGGGUAGAGUAAAGGGAGACAAGUAAUAGGUGCUCUGACAUGGCUCCUCCUUGAGAAUCGUAUGUAUCUUAGGGAAACAAUCUCGAGGCUUCAGGCUUGGAAUAGUAGAGCAAGUGGACAUGAAAGGGAAGGGUGGGCAGGUCCCUUCUUUUUCCUAAGACCAGGCUGUCAGGUAGAAAUAAAUGUGAGCCAUAUUGUAACAUUUUCUAGGAGCUGCAUUUAAAAAAUGAAAUAAGUGAGUCCAGUGCAAAAAAAGAAACACCAUCUUUUCACCAUAUAAUCAAUAUAAAUUAUAUGUCUAUAUGUAGACAUAUAUAAAUUCUUUGACAUCCACAGUGUUUUUACAUUUACGAACAAUUUAGCCAUAUUUUUCAUGCUCACCAACUAGGUUGAAUAGUGACUACUGUCUUGGAUAGUUUAGAAUGGACUUUGUAAUUAAGUAGGCAGUCCUCAUCUGAUCAUCCCUACUAUACACUCUAUCUCAAAGAAUUUUUUAAAAUGCAGAGACUCCUGAAAAGGAGUAUUAGCAGUUCUUAGCAGAUAUCAUACUGCCUUGAUUACCUUUGUCCCAUUUAACAUUUUCUGGGAAUAGAGUUUUUGUAUAGGAUUUGAAUGUACAAGGGUACUUGCAAAAGUUCAUGGAAAAUGGAAUAAGUUUAUUUUGGUGCAUGAAGUUCAGAAAUCCCUCCGUAGUCUUCAUAAUACACAUUUUCCUUGAACUUUUUGAGGCCUUUUCUUAUGUUCUGUAUUUGUUCCCUGCCUGAAAAGCUGUUAGCAGACUGAUGAUUUGUUUCAGUGGAGACAUUGUAGGAUGCUAUAUUUUUGUCAACUAUUAAAGUAAUUCUUUGAUUUGUUAAUAGCAGACUUGAGCACAGAGACAUGUUCAUUUUCCUGCCUUUCCUGUCUUAGGUAACAUUCUUACUGUUCCCCCAUCUUAGGAAUUUAGGAACUUUUGUCAUCACUGGUUUCCAUAUGCAGACACGUAGUUGUUGUCCCAUAUCUGCUUGUGCCCCCAGCACAAUAUCCAGCACACAUUAGACUCAUAGUCCUACUGCACGUUCCUCUCCUGAACUGCACGCUGCUACCGCUUGGCUGCCAUCUUUGGUCUGGUCUGGUCUGGUCUGUUGUAUUAAUUUCCUACCUCAUCUUGCCGAUGGUCUUCCCUCACCCCAAUACAUUAAUCUGCCCCAGUCUGAAACAAAGGUGUGAUCACAUGACUUCCCCUCCCAAACGCGCCCAGUGGCUUCCCUUGACUCCUGUGUAUCCUGCGUUCCAGACUCCACUCUACCUUACCCAUCCUCGUACACCUCUGCUCAUCCUUUACUGUGGGCCUGAACUUUCCUUCUCAAACCUGAUGAAUUAGUGUCUUUUGAUAUUUUUAAAGAAAUUCUUUGAAUUUAACUUUUAUUUGGAAAAAAGUUUUUGAAUCAAAUGUAGUCACAACUUAAAGACCAAAAUAGUAUUUUGGAAAUGGUAUGUAAUGAACAUGGCACCCGUUUCUCUUCUCUGUGUUCUGUCCCCUUCUUCCCUCCUCAGGCAGUCCUUAGUUUCCUGUGCAGUGUUCCAAGGUUUCCUUAUAAAGACAGGGACAAAAAGGAAAUAUAUUCUUAAUAUUUCCUUUUCCUAAUCAGAAGGUAACUUUUUGAGUAAACUUAACCUGAAUCAUAUUUUCUUCUAUUUAGUAGGGUUUUUUGGUAAUCCCUUAAAUAUAAUUAACUUGCAUCUUUCUUCCUUUGAUACAAAUAUAGACAUCUGUAUGAUAACACGUAAUUUUUGGCAUAUAUAUUUGCAUAGGGAUGUGUUGAUAUUAUCUGUCCUGUCCCCUAGACUCUGUCUUGUGGGGCAGAGAUUUUGUUCUUUAUCUCUAGUCUUGAAAACCUCACCCCAUGCCUGGCGCGUCAGAUACUUGGGUGACAUGGCAGGAAGGGAGGAACCUUUUAUUUUAAGAUUCGUUUUCUUUAUUUGAAAGGCAGAGUGAGAGAGGGAGGGAGAGAUGGAGAGAGCAGGGGGGCAUGGAGAGAGAGAGAGACCAUCUGCUGGUUUAUUUCUCAGAUGGUUUCAAUGGCUUGUGAAGCCAGGAGCCAGAAACCCCAUCCUGGUCUCAGAUGUGGGCAGCAAGGGCCCAGGUGCUUAGACCAUCUGCUGCUGCUUUCCUGGGUGCAACAGCAGGGAGCUGGGUUGGAAGCAGAGCAGCCAGGACUUCAGCUGGUGCUCCAGUGUGGGAUGCCAGUGUCACUGGUGGCGGCUUAACCUGCUGUGCAUAACACUGGCCCCAGCAGUGAAGAGUUUGGGAGGAGGGCAUGUAACAUCUCAAAGGAGGAACUGAGACUCACAAGUGCAGGUGUCGACCUAGUAGCCCAGUUCCAGCUCCAGAGCAGUCUCAGUGGAAAGGAGCUCCUACAGCAGCAUCAGAUGUAAAACUAAUUUCUUUCUUUGUUUUUUAAUUAAAUAUUUAUUAUUUAUUAUUUAAAAAGCAGCGUUAGAACGAGAGACAGAGAGAGAAAGCUUCCAUCCAUUGGUUUACUCUCUAAAUGACCACAAUGGCCAGAGCCAGGAGCUUAUUCCAGCAUAGUCGUCGCUGGAAUCUCACUUUGCUUGUAUUGAGAGAGUUGGUUGGUUUUGAUUAGUUUAAGAAAGUUUUAUGACAAAGUAGUAUUUAAAAUUAGUUUCCCUAGUGUUCUGUGGUUCAUUGCCUCAUUUUGUGCCAUGGGGCUGUGUUUGUUUUCGAGAAGGCCAGUGCUUGUUUCUGGCACGCCAGCACCUGUUCAAUCAGAUUCCUUCCUGUUAAGUCCCUUACUCAGCAAACACUUGUCUUCGUUCCUCAGAUCAGAUCAAUAUUCCACUUCCCAGUGUUCUUUAGCACAAAGGUUAUUGCAAGAUUUAUAGAAUGAGGAGAGGGCUGGGUUGUUCUGCACAAUACAUCACAAUUCCAAGACAAAUGAAGGGAUGCAAACAUGGCAGCAGCCUUUUACAUGUGUGGUCCAGGCAGAGAGAGGAUGGUUUGAGGCCAGAUUUUGUAGGAUCAUUGGGCCAAUAAGUCACAUGUUUCUUUUUCUCAUUGAGCCUGCUUUUGUUUUGUUUUGUUUUCAAAGUUCAGGGCAAUUGGAGACAUUGCAUUGGUUAUCAGCAUAUUGGACAGUACUUUUUUUUUUUUUUUUUUUUUUCAAGAACAGAUUUUAAACAAUUUAUCCCAAAGAACUGUGGGUAUGAUCUGGGGGCAGAUGGACAGGAAAUAUGCAGAUGUGCUGAACAGGACAAAGGAGCAUCUGUUGAUUUAUACAGUCUAUCCGAAGAGUGGACACUCCUUAACUGCUUGUUGAUUUAUACAGUCUAUCCGAAGAGUGGACACUCCUUAACUGCUUGUGACCAAUGUGUUGCCAGCUGGUUGGACAGUGCUGUGUAUAGAAAUGUCUGUUUAGUUAUUUUUAUUUUUAUUUGACAGAUAGAGUUAGACAGUGAGAGAGAGAGAGAGAGAGAGACAGAGAGAAAGGUCUUCCUUCCGUUGAUUCACCCCCCCAAAAUGGCUGCUACGGCCGGAGCUAUGCUGGUCUCCCACAUGGGUGCAGGACCUAAGCACCUGGGCCAUCCCUCAGUGCCUUCCCAGGCCACAGCAGAGAGCUGGACUGGAAGAGGAGCCACUGGGACUAGAACCCGGCACCCAUAUGGGAUGCCGGCGCCACAGGUGGAGGAUUAACCAAGUGAGCCACGGCGCCGGCCCCUGCUAGCUUAUUUUAAUGAAUGUUUUCUGGACAUUGAAUCUCAGUACAGGAUAGGCAAAGGUCUUCAAGUAUAGGAUCUGUGUGGUAGUUCUGUCACAACGCUCUCUCAUACCCCAUUUGUUGUUUAAGUCUGGGGACCCCAUUUUAAAGGAGGAAAAACAGAUUAAUGAGCUUAGCAGGGUGAGGACAAGAGGUAUUGAGGGUGGGAAAAGUGAUACCCUAGGAAUGGA